rnacentral:rRNA from 1 species
UACGUAGGUGGCAAGCGUUGUCCGGAAUCAUUGGGCGUAAAGAGCGUGUAGGCGGCUCGAUAAGUCUGCUGUGAAAGUCCAGGGCUCAACCCUGGAAGGCCGGUGGAAACUGUCGGGCUAGAGUCCGGAAGAGGCGAGUGGAAUUCUGGUGUAGCGGUGGAAUGCGUAGAUAUCAGGAAGAACACCGGUGGCGAAGGCGGCUCGCUGGGCCAGAUCCGACACUCAGCCGCGAAAGCGUGGGGAGCAAACAGG